AGAGUGAACGCUGGCGGUAGGCCUAACGCAUGCAAGUCGAACGGCAGCACAGUAGGAGCUUGCUCUUACGGGUGGCGAGUGGCGGACGGGUGAGGAAUACAUCGGAAUCUACCUUUUGGUGGGGGAUAACGUAGGGAAACUUACGCUAAUACCGCAUACGCCCUUCGGGGGAAAGCCGGGGACCAGCAAUGGCCUGGCGCUGAUAGAUGAGCCGAUGUCGGAUUAGCUAGUUGGUGAGGUAAUGGCUCACCAAGGCGACGAUCCGUAGCUGGUCUGAGAGGAUGAUCAGCCACACUGGAACUGAGACACGGUCCAGACUCCUACGGGAGGCAGCAGUGGGGAAUAUUGGACAAUGGGCGCGAAGCCUGAUCCAGCCAUACCGCGUAGGUGAAGAAGGCCUUCGGUUGUAAGCCUUUGUGGAAGAAAGCGAUUCGGUAAUACCGGU
rnacentral:rRNA from 1 species